rnacentral:rRNA from 1 species
AUUGAACGCUGGCGGCAGGCCUAACACAUGCAAGUCGGACGGUAGCACAGGGGAGCUUGCUCCUCGGGUGACGGGUGGCGGACGGGUGAGUAAUGUCUGGGGAUCUGCCCGAUAGAGGGGGAUAACCACUGGAAACGGUGGCUAAUACCGCAUAAUGUCGCAAGACCAAAGAGGGGGACCUUCGGGCCUCUCACUAUCGGAUGAACCCAGAUGGGAUAGCUAGUAGGCGGGGUAACGGCCCACCUAGGCGACGAUCCCUAGCUGGUCUGAGAGGAUGACCAGCCACACUGGAACUGAGACACGGUCCAGGCUCCUACGGGAGGCAGCAGUGGGGAAUAUUGCACAAUGGGCGCAAGCCUGAUGCAGCCAUGCCGCGUGUAUGAAGAAGGCCUUCGGGUUGUAAAGUACUUUCAGCGGGGAGGAAGGCGAUAAGGUUAAUAACCUUGUCGAUUGACGUUACCCGCAGAAGAAGCACCGGCUAACUCCGUGCCAGCCGCCGCCGUAA